UACGUAGGGUGCAAGCGUUGUCCGGAAUUAUUGGGCGUAAAGAGCUCGUAGGCGGUCUGUUGCGUCGGCUGUGAAAACCCGGGGCUCAACUCCGGGCCUGCAGCCGAUACGGGCAGACUAGAGUUCGGCAGGGGAGACUGGAAUUCCUGGUGUAGCGGUGAAAUGCGCAGAUAUCGUUUGGAACGCCAAUGGUGAAAACAGGUUGCUGGGAGUGCGCUGACGCUGAGACACGAAAGCCAGGGGAGCGAACGGG
rnacentral:rRNA from 1 species